AUGCUUUCUGCUGCUCACUCAGUUCUUGUGAUCCUCUUAAUAUUCAGAGGGACCAACGGAGACUCAGUGAACCAGACAGAAGGCCCAGUGACUCUCUCAGAGGGGACUCUUAUGACCCUGAACUGCACUUACCAGACCACUGGUUCAGAUCCCUAUCUUUUCUGGUAUGUCCAGUAUCUCAACAAACCUCUUCAACUCCUUCUGAAGAGCCUGAAGGCAAACCAGAGGACAGAGCAUCAAGGUUUUCAGGCCACUCUUGUUAAGACUGACAGCUCCUUCCAGCUGCGGAAAUCCGCAGUGCAAACUUCAGACUCGGCUGUGUACUACUGUGCUGUGAGGGACACAGUGAGAGGGGCAGCAGGGGGAGCUGAACACAAACCCAAGGGGAGCAGGAGGGCUGAAGUGAGCAGCCUUGGGAGGAAGAGGUGGCAGUGGUUCCACUCCUCGCCUUCCUCCAGUGCCUUCACCUUCAAAGGCAGGACAGUGACUAGAGGAUUUGCUCUUGAUUGGCUGAGCCACCAACAGAAAGGCUCUCCUGUGCGUUAG